GUUCGACAAAAAUGUAACCAGAUAGCGGUAUGUCAUUCUGAUUCCUAUAUGUGGUGGAUGACGGGUAUUUCUAUGAAGCGUUGGGCAGCGUAGCCAUCCCCGUAACUGCGUUUAAGAAGACGACUCCAGGUUCUUUUUUCUUUCUGGGGUACAGAACCCGUUACGGACGCAGCUUCACACACCGCUGCCUCACGGCCUAGUCGACUGCCUUUAGAGCGUGGUGGUCUGUUUUUAAAGCAGAAGGCAGAUGUUGUGUGGCCUUUCCAAUGACGCAAAAUGACGACACCUGGCAGAUUCCUGUGGGCCAUUUGCUUCGUUUUCCCAAAGCUCCGGACAGGCUGUAUCAACGGAAUGCCCCUCCAUUCCUAGAUGUAUAUAGAGCGAGUUAUCAACCCAAGACAAAGUCUACGGAAUGCGCAAAAUCGUUCACUUCAAGAAGGAAAUCGUCCCUAGCAACGAUAGCAGCCCGAACCCCUUUCUUCACUUUGGUCUCUCGGGGGCUACGUUUGCUCCUGAUCGAAGGACUUUCUGUAGCCCCAGUCGUCUGCUGGGGCGUUCCCCAACGAGCCUACAUUUGAUAAACGAGCUCCUUGGAGCGUCGUUUUCACGGAGCAGCCAGAUGAAGCGGCGGAUAUCACCAGACGCGGUCCACCUCAUUUCCUGGACGAUCUCUGUUAGCCACACUUGCCAGGCUAAGCAGCUGACUGGAAUCAGGCAUUCUCGACCGCGGACGUUUUAUUGUUCGACUGCUGUCUGCCUUCCAUUCAGGAAGCUUUGCAGCCGAAAACCUCGUUGGCGUCAUCGCCCAAAUCCACGCCUAGUUCAUCGCACCUUCUCCUUUGUCCGCCAACCUCCACGAAGUGGAACAUUCGCGCGAGUCUCCAUCUGCUUCAGUUCUGUACAUCGGAAAGAACGACUCUCUCCUGUUGACCCCGAAACUGAUCGGUAGGAUAGCCAGGAUGAAUUCCUGAGGUUGAAAAUGCUGGAAGGGGCUUUUAAAGUGUGUGUUUCCCUUCUCGUCCCUGCACCGUCACCGCUGUGUGGGCCAGUUCCUGCGAGCCGCGAAUCGGCGUCUCUGGACUCUGUCUAACCCCGUGAAGAGCUUAGAAGGAAGAAGCGUCCACCAAAGUCCGAGAACAAGAAACGGUGUGAGAGGAGCGUCCAGCUCCUCAGUCCUGAGAACCUGCUGUCCUUCCUGGCGAGCUCGCGUGGCCCUAAAGCUCGCCUGACCAGCUUCUCGCUUAACCCCAGAACGAGGGCCGCGUGUCCAUGGCAUACGACUGCCGUGUUGCCAAGCUUUGACGAACACCUCCCUGCGGCAUCCCGGGAUUCAUCAUAGGCUGCUGCUGCUGCCCAUACAUCUGCGGUCCCAUGUAGGGUCCGCCAGGAGGCGGCCGCGGUUCCUCCUCCUCGUCGGAUCUGGAUCUCCCCGCGUACGCGAGGACGCCUAAGAGGAGAAUGCUCCCAACAACGCAUCCAGCGAUCAUGACAGUGGACACCCCUUCGUCUCCUUCGGUCGCGUCACUGGACGUGUCGCUGUCGCUGUCGAGGUCGUCGUCACUCGUUGCACGGACGCACCGCAGUUUCCCGUAGACUGUCUGAAGAGAAUACUCCGGGUUGCAAGUGCACGUAUAACUGUCCUUGGUAGGGACGCACAGGGAGACAGCUUCAGGUUUCCCACAGGGGUCUCCGAUGCAGCUGUUGGGUAGGGCACAGAGCUGGGUAUUGUCCGACUGGGUCCGCAGUUCAUAGCCCGAGUUGCAAAUACACGUAUACCCGUCUCCAGAGGAAUUCACCUGGCACUCGGAGACGGCGUCCGAACUCCCGCAGGGAUUCACCGAGCAGGCGUCGGCUUUGUGGCACAUUCGCGUGCCUUUCACGUAUUUAAGCAGAUAGCCGGCCUUGCAUUGACAGUCCCAUUUCCCGUCCGACACUUUCUCGCAGCGAG
rnacentral:lncRNA from 1 species